AACAGAGAGGAGCGAGACAGGCCAAAGGCAGAACAAGAUAAUGGCUUCUUCGACAAUGGCGUUAACGCUGUCUCCUUCGGUAACCCGUGGAGGCAUGAGUGCUCGAAGUCCUUCAGCUUCCCUCACAUUCCUUACUGGUUCUUCCAGACACAGGUCGCUGUCCUUGAAUGUUUCCCACAAUUCCUCUGCCUAUCGUUCUUCGCUACUUCACUGCUCCUUCCUCUGCUCUUCUCCGUCUCUCUCUUUCCCCUCUUCUGUUUCCGGCAUAUCACUGGGUCUGGAUUUUAAACCUGAUGUUGGUAAUAGAAGGGGAAAUGGUGGCAGGCUAGUUGUUAGGGCAGGCAAAGCUGCUCUUUGUAUGACCAAGAGGAACAGAUCACGCAAAUCACUGGCACGGACUCAUGGUUUUCGCAGACGGAUGAGGACUACAAGUGGAAGAGCAGUACUUAAGCGCCGACGUGCCAAGGGACGGAAGGUCCUUUGCCCAAAGUCUAAUCCAAAUAGUGGCAAACGUGCUUAAGUUUAUUCUAUUUCAUUAGUGGUUGGAGGUACAGCUGUGCCCCGAGAUGUACUAUUUUUGUUGAAUUCUGAUUAAUCUUCACAGUUUACCCUCAACAGGUGGUUGAACUUUUCUGCAAAAUACCAGUUCCUUGGAUAGAUGCAGCUGUUUCUUUUGUUCUGUCCAUUCAUGCAUAUCUUCUGCAAAACUGAACAAUAAUAAUAUAUUAAGAUAGCGUUGGAAGAUGGCUAACUUGGCUGAGAUGCCCAAUUCAAGAUCUAGUAUUGUGGUUAUUCUUAAAGCAUGAACGCUAUUAUUCUAGAUACUUAAAGCAGACUUGUGGUUGUUGCUUUGACAAACUGUGAUGCAUGACUCAUUUAUUAUCUUUUAUA